AGAUGUGAGGGCGAUCUGGCUGCAACAGAUGUCAUCCCAUUGAUCACCCGGGCUGAUUUAGCUGAUCUGGCUGGUUAGGUGGGUGUCCCCUUCCUCUCUCACCAUUCCAUGUGCAUCCCUCUGGAAGCUGCGGGCUGAGUCGAAGAGGAAGGCUUUCCUGGAAUAGAGAUGGUCCGAUCUUUGGUCAAGGGUAUCUAAGUAGCUGUGCUCCCCUGACAGAACUUCCAAACAAGCUCUCAAUUUAUCUCAGUUUCUAUUCAAUAAUAAAUUAAUUAAUUAAAAUAUUUUU
rnacentral:snRNA from 1 species